UCUUCCCUCUGGCGGCGUGCCUAAUACAUGCAAGUCGAGCGAACGGACGAGAAGCUUGCUUCUCUGAUGUUAGCGGCGGACGGGUGAGUAACACGUGGAUAACCUACCUAUAAGACUGGGAUAACUUCGGGAAACCGGAGCUAAUACCGGAUAAUAUUUUGAACCGCAUGGUUCAAAAGUGAAAGACGGUCUUGCUGUCACUUAUAGAUGGAUCCGCUCUGCAUUAGCUAGUUGGUAAGGUAACGGCUUACCAAGGCAACGAUGCAUAGCCGACCUGAGAGGGUGAUCGGCCACACUGGAACUGAGACACGGUCCAGACUCCUACGGGAGGCAGCAGUAGGGAAUCUUCCGCAAUGGGCGAAAGCCUGACGGAGCAACGCCGCGUGAGUGAUGAAGGUCUUCGGAUCGUAAAACACUGUUAUUAGGGAAGAACAUAUGUGUAAGUAACUGUGCACAUCUUGACGGUACCUAAUCAGAAAGCCACGGCUAACUACGUG
rnacentral:rRNA from 1 species